CUACGUGCCAGCAGCCGCGGUAAUACGUAGGUCCCGAGCGUUGUCCGGAUUUAUUGGGCGUAAAGCGAGCGCAGGCGGUUAGAUAAGUCUGAAGUUAAAGGCUGUGGCUUAACCAUAGUACGCUUUGGAAACUGUUUAACUUGAGUGCAAGAGGGGAGAGUGGAAUUCCAUGUGUAGCGGUGAGAUGCGUAGAUAUAUGGAGGAACACCGGUGGCGAAAGCGGCUCUCUGGUCUGUAACUGACGCUGAGGCUCGAAAGCGUGGGGAGCGAACAGGAUUAGAUACCCUGGUAGUCCACGCCGUAAACGAUGAGUGCUAGGUGUUGGAUCCUUUCCGGGAUUCAGUGCCGCAGCUAACGCAUUAAGCACUCCGCCUGGGGAGUACGACCGCAAGGUUGAAACUCAAAGGAAUUGACGGGGGCCCGCACAAGCGGUGGAGCAUGUGGUUUAAUUCGAAGCAACGCGAAGAACCUUACCAGGUCUUGACAUCCCGAUGCUAUUUCUAGAGAUAGAAAGUUA
rnacentral:rRNA from 1 species